UACGUAGGGUGCGAGCGUUGUCCGGAAUUAUUGGGCGUAAAGAGCUCGUAGGCGGUCUGUCGCGUCGAUCGUGAAAACUUGGGGCUUAACCCUGAGCUUGCGGUCGAUACGGGCAUGACUGGAGUUCGGCAGGGGAGACUGGAAUUCCUGGUGUAGCGGUGAAAUGCGCAGAUAUCAGGAGGAACACCGGUGGCGAAGGCGGAUCUCUGGGCCGUAACUGACGCUGAGGAGCGAAAGCAUGGGGAGCGAACAGG
rnacentral:rRNA from 1 species